AUACUUACCUGGCAGGGGAGAUACCAUGAUCACGAAGGUGGUUUUCCCAGGGCGAGGCUUAUCCAUUGCACUCCGGAUGUGCUGACCCCUGCGAUUUCCCCAAAUGUGGGAAACUUGACUGCAUAAUUUGUAGUAGUGGGGGACUGCGUUCGUGCUCUCCCCUG
rnacentral:snRNA from 1 species